ensembl:lncRNA
GGGCCAGUCAGUGUGAGUUAUUUAAAUAAAUCUUGUGUUUAAUGGUGAACUAUGCCCGGGCAGGGCGAAGCCAGAGGAAACUCUGGUGGAGGCCCGCAGCGGUCCUGACGUGCAAAUCGGUCGUCCAACCUGGGUAUAGGGGCGAAAGACUAAUCGGACCAUCUAGUAGCUGGUUCCCUCCGAAGUUUCCCUCAGGAUAGCUGGCACUCGGACCUCAGUUUUAUCCGGUAAAGCUAAUGACUUAGAGGCAUUGGGGCCGAAACGAUCUCAACCUAUUCUCAAACUUUAAAUGGGUAAGAAGCCCGGCUCGCUGGCUUGGAGCCGGGCAUGGAAUAAGAGUCGCGAGACUUACACCCUCUCCCCCGGAUUUUCAAGGGCCAGCGAGAGCUCACCGGACGCCGCCAGAACUGCGGCGCUUUCCAGGGCGUGGGCCCCUAUCUCGGGGUGAACCCGUUCCAGGGAGCCCGGCCCUUCACAAGGAAAAGAGAACUCUUCCCGGGGCCCCCGCCGGCGUCUCCGGGUUCGUUGUAUUUACAAUGUUAGUCAAAGUGACGGGGGAAAGUGUUGGUAUGUGUCCGGAUGUAGCCUUUACCCUCCUUCCUCACCUUUCUGCUGGGAGAAUGCAAAGGUGGCAUAUGCUUUUUGCUGUUCAACCCAAAAACCAACCCACACACACACACACACACACACACACACACACACACACACACACACAGCGCAGUGAAUUCCUCAGGAGUCUGCUCAGAAGCAGCCUCCAGGGGGGAGCUGUCCCCUCCCUCCCUUCCUCCGUGCUUUCCUCCUCUCUGCACCCUCCCCUCUGUCAACACACACUGUUUAAAGGGAACAUUGGACCACACCAUUAGACAAAAAAAGUCAAACCCAGGGGAAUUGUGAGGAUGAGAAAUGAAUGCCAGGUCUCAGUCAGCGUUCAGCAUUUCCACCUGUCCUUUUUCCAGCUGCAGCCGAGACCUCAGCUGAACUGCUUUGGGGUUUGAACCAUUUCAGGGCAUUUUCACCUUCGUUUCAAGGAUCUUAAGGGAUUAUAGAGUUAUUUCAUAGCUAUAGCCGGUGGCCUGAGAAUUCCUGGCUCUACGUUUGUGAGGCAGGAAAGCCUGGGCUCCAACUUGGUAUUGUUCCAACUAUGAGGCCCCAGCUGGAAGCCAGAGUUAUAAGAGAAACUCUAUAGCCAGACUUGGAGGAGCGAGAGGAGCAAGAAGUGCCAGAUCUGCACAUAUUUUCUCAAUGCCGGCUUUCUGUACUAUCAGAAGUGAGGGAUUUGAAACCCCACAGCAUUUCUCAUGACUGCUUCGCCCACUGCUGUCUGACUUUGAAGUCCACAGCUAACAAUAUCUCCACAUCAGGAGAGAGCCAGAGCAUGGGUCAAAAGUACAUGAAGUGUGUGCAGAUGUGACUGGGUUCAUCAUGCAUACACAGUUCUAGUAAAUGCUAUCCAGCUAAAGUAAUCUUGCAUCACUUCAUUGAAUUUUGAUCUUUGUCAGAUUUUUUUCUUGUACAUAUCGAAAGUGGGAUCACAUGAACAUGCCAUCUUAAAGCAUAGAAAUAGUCUAUGUACAAUAUUUUUUAAUGCUAAGGCCACUAUUAGAUUGCCUAGGAUCCUUAUAACUUAAUCCUCAUUAAAAUAGCUAGGAUUUGAAUUUUUGUUUAAAAAUGACUUUAUUAGUGUUAAUAAAUCUGUUCCAGGCUUAACAUUUAACUUAAUGUUGUUUACUAUAGCUAGGUAUACCUUUAGCUUUCAGCAUAUUAAAAGUUUGAAAAGCUUAUUCUCCAUCUAGUCUACAUUUUAAGACUGGGAUUCUCAGACUCUGCUUUAAGCUUACUGUGUGUGGAGAGAAAAACCCAUGACCUCAGAUAACUCUGGGUUUCUCUUAAUAGAACAACCAUUAUUCAUGACAGCAUCACGUAAAUAGAUAGUAUGUCAGUUUUUUGUUUUGUUUUGUUUUUUUGUUAUAGUGUUGCGGCCCAAAUUGCUCGAUUUUGCUGCGG